UACAGAGGGUGCGAGCGUUGUCCGGAAUCACUGGGCGUAAAGGGCGCGUAGGCGGCCUGAUAAGUCGGGGGUGAAAUCUUGCGGCUCAACCGCAAGGCUGCCUUCUAAACUGUCAGGCUGGAGCACGGUAGAGGCAGAUGGAAUUCCCGGUGUAGCGGUGGAAUGCGUAGAGAUCGGGAAGAACACCAGUGGCGAAGGCGGUCUGCUGGGCCGUUGCUGACGCUGAGGCGCGACAGCGUGGGGAGCGAACAGG
rnacentral:rRNA from 1 species